UGCUGUACACUGCUAAUGUCCCCACUGAGGGACUAAUAAAGGAAUAUCUGAUCUGAUCUUAUCACAUGGUUAAGAUCAUAUCUGCCUGUGUUACACUCUUUGACCACUCUUUGGUGGUUUCGUGCACAUGAAGCCUCCAGAAAUGAAAUGAACCCUUUUCUGAACCAAUUUGCUGGAAAGCUUCAUGAAGCUUCAUCUCGCCAUCACUACACAUCAUCUCCUCCUCUACCAGCAGGCUGUCGGUGUAGCUGCUGGUCCUCUGACUGGUGCGGAUGUGGUGGACGGCUCUAUUUAUACACCCGCCGAUUUCCUCCACCGGUAUCCUUCCGCGUCACCAAAACGUAAAAAACAACGAAAUAUCAUAAACAGUAAUCGAACCUGUCGCCUAUAUAUCCAUCUUCCGUUCCUGAUUUCGAUCGGCGGAAAACACAAAAACGAGAGCGACUGCGAUUCUGGUUAUCUUCGCAUUGAAGUCGGGUCUAUGUUGUCUUCUCGGCGGAGUGAUACCACACAGGAUGCAAGGAAAACCAAUGUGGUUCUUUGCUACUCCCAACCUGGAACCUUCGAAAGCACACCGGACUGUUAUUCUACAGCAGCUCAGGAAUCACCACCAGAAACUGCGCAUCUCAUAGUUUGGUCCUGUAAGACAGAGGAGACACAAGGCUCGUUGGAGAUGAACUUCGCCUCGCCUGGAAAGUAGUUGAGAUCAGGCUGCAGCAGGAGGAGCAGAGGGAUGGAGACUAAAAGCUGAGGUCAAGUUGGACAGUUUCCAGCAGCCUUCACUGAAGUUAAACCAUUAAUGCAUGAUGAUCACAGAUAAUACAGCCUUUAAAUAGUCCACACAAUAACAGGAAUAUAACAACAAUCAUUGGAGACGAGUAUAGAUUAGUCUGAUGACAUUUUAUUGAAGGUUUGAUCUAAUGAGUCGGUUGUUUGGUGAGAGUCUGGCCCAAUUCCAAUCCACUCCCUCCACCCUCUCUCUACCCACUUCCACUUCGUUUGCGGGUUCGCUGGAGGCUCUGCCAUGUUAAGGGCCAAUCCAAACCAAUUCACGGGGAGUGGAAGUGGGUUAUAAAACCCUCCAACAGCGAGCUGCAUCGAUGCCGACUCAACCAGCUGCUCUUACUGACGACGUGCAACGCCGUUUUGUGUUCAUCCUGGAUCCAGGGCUGGACUGGCCCCCCCAUCAGAGUCUGAAUGUGAUAGGUCCGAUAAGACUCAACAAACAUUAAUGAUGAUGUAAUGUAUUACUGAUAUACUGUAUGAGACCCAUCUAAAGUUCACAACAUGUUUUAAUAAGGAAUUCAGCAUCAUUGAUAUUGUGACUUAAUGCACGGUAAGUUAUAAAUUAACAACCAUGCAUCACUCAUAGUUUUAUCCCUCCCAGACGUAUCCCAGUAUCUGGUAGAUGGGCCUAAACAGCAUGCUCGCCAAGCCUCUUUAACAUAAAAAUGCUGUUACAGUGUACUUAUUAUUUUUGUUAUUUUCAUUGUUUAUAAGUCACCAGAAUUCAGGAAACAAAGU